AUUGAACGCUGGCGGCAGGCUUAACACAUGCAAGUCGCACGAGUGGCGGACGGGUGAGUAAUGCUUGGGAAUCUAGCUUAUGGAGGGGGAUAACUACGGGAAACUGUAGCUAAUACCGCGUACCAUAGGAUGAGCCCAAGUGGGAUUAGGUAGUUGGUGAGGUAAAGGCUCACCAAGCCGACGAUCUCUAGAUGGUCUGAGAGGAUGCCCAGCCACCCUGGGACUGAGACACGGCCCAGACUCCUACGGGAGGCAGCAGUGGGUAAUAUUGCGAAAGGGGGGCAACCCUGACGAAGCCAUGCCGCGUGUAUGAAGAAGGCCUUCGGGUUGUAAAGUACUUUCAGUCGGGAGGCGUUACCGACAGAAGAAGCACCGGCUAACUCCGUGCCAGCAGCCGCGGUAAUUC
rnacentral:rRNA from 1 species